CCCGCUGAACUUAAGCAUAUCAAUAAGCGGAGGAAAAGAAACUAACAAGGAUUCCCCUAGUAACUGCGAGUGAAGCGGGAAAAGCUCAAAUUUAAAAUCUGGCGGUCCUCUGGGCCGUCCGAGUUGUAAUCUGGAGAAGCGUUUUCCGCGUCGGACCGUGUACAAGUCUUCUGGAACGGAGCGUCAUAGAGGGUGAGAAUCCCGUCUCUGACACGGACCGCCGAUGCUUUAUGUGAUACACUCUCAACGAGUCGAGUUGUUUGGGAAUGCAGCUCAAAAUGGGUGGUAAAUUCCAUCUAAAGCUAAAUAUUGGCGAGAGACCGAUAGCGAACAAGUACCGUGAGGGAAAGAUGAAAAGCACUUUGGAAAGAGAGUGAAACAGUACGUGAAAUUGUUGAAAGGGAAGCGUUUGAAGUCAGUCGUAUCUGUCGGAAUUCAGCCUGGCUUCUGCCUGGUGUACUUUCCGUCCGAUGGGUCAGCAUCAAUUUUGACCGAGGGAAAAAGACGUUCGGAAUGUGGCUGUCUUCGGGCAGUGUUAUAGCCUUGCGUUGUAUGUCUCGGUUGGGAUUGAGGAACGCAGCGCGCCUGUUGGCCGGGGGUUCGCGCCCCUCGGUACGCGCUUAGGAUGCUGGCAUAAUGGCUUUAAGCGACCCGUCUUGAAACACGG
rnacentral:rRNA from 1 species